AGCGAACGCUGGCGGCAGGCCUAACACAUGCAAGUCGAACGAACCUUUCGGGGUUAGUGGCGGACGGGUGAGUAACACGUGGGAACGUGCCUUUAGGUUCGGAAUAACUCAGGGAAACUUGUGCUAAUACCGAAUGUGCCCUUCGGGGGAAAGAUUUAUCGCCUUUAGAGCGGCCCGCGUCUGAUUAGCUAGUUGGUUGAGGUAAUGGCUCACCAAGGCGACGAUCAGUAGCUGGUCUGAGAGGGUGAUCAGCCACAUUGGGACUGAGACACGGCCCAAACUCCUACGGGAGGCAGCAGUGGGGAAUCUUGCGCAAUGGGCGAAAGCCUGACGCAGCCAUGCCGCGUGAAUGAUGAUGGUCUUAGGAUUGUAAAAUUCUUUCACCGGGGACGAUAAUGACGGUACCCGGAGAAGAAGCCCCGGCUAACUUCGUG
rnacentral:rRNA from 1 species